rnacentral:lncRNA from 1 species
CUCAGGGGCACUCAACCCCUAAGCCAUAUCCCCAGACCUUUAUAUUUUAUAGCUUACUUAGAGACAGGGUCUCACUGAGUUGCUUAGCACCUUGUUUUUGCUGAGACUGGCUUUGAACUUGUGGUCCUCCUGCCUCAGCCUCCUGAGCCUCUGGGAUUAUAGGCAGAAGCCUCUGCACCUAGCAUGACAACGUCUUUAACAAACUUUCUUGCCAAAGAAUAACCUAGGCCCCUUCAUGCAUGGGGGUGGGUUUCCCCAAAUGAAAGCAAUGGCCUGAGAUAUGGCCUCACAAUUAGGGUGUUUCCCCCCAACAAAGAUCUCCCCAGCUGGAAACAUUAAAGUGUUCAUGCUGCAUUCCCCAGGGUGGGCCACAGGUCUAACAGUGACCAAGUGGACAGGAAGAGGGGUUAGCUCCCUCUAGUUACCCCAGGAUCACACCGUGGGGUAACACGAAUCUCUGGAAUGUUCCAUCUCCAGGUGUCCUGAGGACACAGACAGAGGAUCUCCAAUGUCCGCGAACAUGGGAUGACUUUGGGCUUUUUAGACAGCCUUUCCUUGCUUUAGCAAACUGUUGGUUCUCAGCAUAUGAGCCUUUCACGUCCUCCCUGAGAUUCCUUGCUAGGUAUUUAAUUCCUUUAGAUUCUAUUAUAAGGGAAAUUGUUUUCUUAAUUUCCUGAUGGAUUUCUCAGUGCUGGUAUGGAGACACACGGUGUUUGUGUCUUGGUCUGGACUCUUCAUGAGCCCCAGGGGCUUCCCUGGGUUCUAGCGGACCCCACCAGCGGCCCAUGGGGAGAGUGUGGCUCCUUCCUUUCCCACUCGCUGCGCUGUGGCUGGGGAGGACUGGGUGUGUCAGCGUCUCUCGGGUCUCUGCUGCUGUCCCUCUGCCAUCCCUAGCUCUGAGAGGUGAGCGAGGCUGUCCCUUCCGGUGCUAUUCUCUGGGGACGGGCCGUCAGCAGUGCUGCUUCCACCGUGUCUCAAAGGCCUUGCUGCAGGUUUUCCUUUCCACCCAUCGCCACUUUUCCCGGUGAUUUCUUCUUUGAUCCACUGGUUGUUUAAGGAAAUUGCUUAAUUCCACAAUUUUGUGAAAUUUUCAUUUUCAUUUUUCUUUUUUCUUUUAUUGAUUCCUAACUUUAUCUUGUUUGUUAAGACCAGAGAAGAUUCCUUGUAAAAUAUCUACCUUUUUUAUUGCACCUUGAACCCCAGGGCUCUCUACACUGAGCCGCACUCUGGGCCUCUUUGGUCUUCUGUCUGACACAGGGUCUUCUAAGUUGCCCAGUCUGGCCUUGAACUUGCAGCCCUCCUGCCUCUGAACUGCUGGGUCAGAGGUGUGCCCCUGUGCCUGGCUGGCGUCUGCCUGUCCUCAGCUGUCCUGCGCUGGGGCCUUGCAUGUCCGUAUUCUGUCCUGGAGGACAUCCCCGGGCCCCUGACCGUGCUGCUGGUGGGUGUCUUCUGUGUCUGUCAGUCCUCUGUCUGACGCUCUGUCCUUUGAGAGUGGGGUAUUGAAUCUUCCGAGGGUCAGUCCUGGGUGCCUUGGUGUUCAUCGUACCUUUCCCACAGGGAAGCUUCUCUCCUAUAGAGUGUCCCCUGCUCGGUGCGCACCUGCCUUCUCCUGUCCCCUCUGUCCCUCUGUGUCUUUGUGUCUGAACGGCCUCUCUGGUGGACAGCCUGCGGUGGGGAUGUGUUCUUGAUCCUCCUGCUCCCCUCUGGCUUAGUGUGCAGAGUGCAGACAGGGAGGGCCCCUCUCCCUCGCUGUGGCCCUCGCGGUGCCUCACGGCCAUUCCGUCCUCUGUAUUGCUGCCUUCUCUCACGGCGUCCCCUCCUCCUUUGCCACUGUGCAACGGCACAGCCCCGCCUCUGUGGUUGCCCAGGGGAUGCGCUACACCUCACAUGCGAUUGGAACUCACACCAGGUUAACUGCAGCAGCAUGAGAACUGCUCCUACUUUCUGUAGUUCACUACAAAUUGCAUCAUUUUACAUUUCCCCCCAUAUCCAAGAUUAAUGGUUGCUUUUACACAUCUCGUUUUAGACCCUACAGACAAUAAGAAAAGUGGAGUCACAGACCAAGAAUGGAGGCGCCCGAGCUUUUCUUACUCCUCAUGUAUGUACCUUUGUUGAAAUCUUUACUCCUUCACUGGCUGUGAGCCACUCUCCAGCACCCUCUAGUUUCCUUCUGAAAGACUCCCUUUGGCAUAGUUCAAAGAGGUAGAGUUGGACGACUCCUAUUUUCAGCUUUGAAAUUUACGACAAAAUUAUAAGAGUAAUUAAAAUAGCAUGAUACUGAUAUCAAGACAGGCAUACAGACCAGAAGGAAAGAAUAAAGGACUCAGAAAUAAACCUUCAUGGGCCAGGUGUGGUGGCCACGCCUUCAUCCCAGCUGUUCAGGAGGCUGAGGCAGGAGGAUUGCAAGUUUGAGGCCAGCCUCAGCAACUUAGUGAGGCCCUGUCUCAAAAAAUAAAAUGUGCUGGGGAUGUGGCCCAGUGGUAGAGUGCCCUGGGUUCAAAGCCCAGAACCACCAAAGAAGGAGGAGCAGCAGAAGGAGGAGGGGGAUAAAGACCCUCUUGCAUGGUCAGCAGAUACUUGACAAGAGUGCCAAGGCCAUUCAACGGAGAAAGGACAGUUUUCCACCAGUGCUGGGAGACUGGACGGCCUUGAGGAAACAGAGAAAAUGAGCCCCUAUCUCCCACCACACGAAAAGAGUGACUCGGCGUGAGCCACAGACCUGACUGACCAGCUGAGACGGCGAGACGCAGGAGAAAAGGAGGAGGGGUCUUCGUGCUGUUGGAUUUGGCAACAAGUGCAGUAUGGCCCCCAAAGCACAGGCAACCUCACAACAAAAAUAGAUCUCAAUGUGAUUUUCAUCCAAUCUAGAACUUUCUUCCAUGAAAGGGCACUACUAGGAGAGUGAAGCCCGGCACGGUGGCACACGCCUGUGAUCCCAGCGGCUCGGGAGGCAGGAGGACCACAGUUCGAAGCCAGCCUCAGCAAAAGCAAGGUGAUAAGCAACUCGGUGAGGUCCUGUCUGCAAAUAAAAUACAAAAUAGGGCUGGGGGUGUGGCUCCGUGGUGGAGUGCCCCCGAGUUCAAUCCCCAGACCUCCCCACCAAAAAAGAAAGUGAAAAGACAGACUACAAAAUAUGAAAAGAGGUUUGCAAAUCAUCUGAAAAAGGGUUAAUAUUCAGAAUAUAUAAAGAGCUUCUACAAUCCACUAAAAAUGGGCAGAGAACUCGGGUACACAUUUCUUCACAGAAGACCUACAGGUGGCCAGCAAGAAGACGCGCUUCUGCUGUGCUACUCAGGGGUGGUUCCAGACACCAGGCCUCCUUCUUGAUUCCUAUUCUAAAUUAAAGGGAAACUGUUACAAUGCCUGGAGCCCUAGGUGUCCUGCAAAUGUGGGAGGAGGGUGUCCUCGAGUUCCUCACAGCCAGAGCCUGCUUAGCUGGCAUGGCCCUGGUUUCCAAAUGGAGUGGUGUGUCUGCAAAAGGAAAGGCAGCGGCAUCCGUGUCAUGAGCCUGAAGAGGCCCCGGGAGGAGUCAGGCCAGGGCUGCCACUGAACCCCUGCUGACGUCAGGUUAUGGCCUCCAGGACACUAGCCAGUGGGCAGCAAUGGAGUUUGGCCACCCCUGUUGCUGGCGGCCUCCCUCCUGGAGCCUUCACCAGCCAGAUCUGGACUGUCUUUCCGCAGCCAUGACUCUGGAAGGUUCCCAUCAGGACUGACCAUUAGCCACUCCCACAGGCCUCUCAUGCCAACAUGCCUGCCGCUGCUCCACAACCCAGACUCUCCCCUGUGCCCCGUGGACACUGCCACCCCACGAAGCCUGGGGGCUGCCUUUGGCCUGAUGUGCUGGAGGCUGGCCCCAGAAGUCCUGCACACAAGUGGCACCAUUUCUCGUGGAUACCUGUGGAGGUGGCUACUACUUCUAUGAGACCCCGAAGAGGCUGAAAAGGAAGAGCAGGUUGCUUCUCAGGAGGCUGUGCCCCUCCCCCGAGGAGGCUGUGCCCCUCCCCCGAGGAGGCUGUGCCCCAGGAGGUCCCAGGUGCCCCCUGAGUCCCUCAACAGAGGAGCCUGUGCGCAGGAGGGUCCCAAGUGUGUGGGCUGCUCUAGCAGCUCUCUGCUGCAACCUGAGGCUGCAGACUGGCCAAGGGUACAGGUGCCCCCUGUGCCCCUUCAGAAGUCCCCUGCUGAAGACUGGUCUCGGGUGACCUUCUGGUGGGCUUGAGCUGUUCUUCUCAUACACUUAAACAGAAUGGAAGUGAGGUCACGGAAGAUAAGUUCCUGUCCCACCAAAAGAAAAAGAGAAGAGAAGAAAGAAGACAUGCAGACAGCAACAGGAAAGAGGCCCUCGCCUGGCCGUCUCUGUGUCCUCCCUCAGCCCACUUUCUGCCUCCCAGGAUUCACCUCCUCGGGGAUCUUGUUGAUGUGGAAGGGCACAUGUGUAGCCUGUGUCUGCCUGUCCCCAGCACGUGUGCUCGAGGUUUGUGCAUGAUGUGACUUUCAUUCAUCACAGGGACAGACUGAGCUGGCCCGUCCCUCAUUGGUGGGUGGACACGUCUGACCCUGUUGGCUGUUGUAAGUGGUGCUGCACGGCUCAUGUAAAACCUGUCUGGACAGCUGUCAGCUCCCGGGCAAGUCCCUGCCGCGGGAUGCACAUGCACCGGCACAGCAGGAGUUUCCAACUCUGCUGCCCAUCAGUCACACCCGUGUUUCCCGUGCCUUGGACAGUGGCCCCACUCAUGCACAGAAAGGACACCUGGCUGUGCUGACUGGCCUGUGCUGACGUUGUCCCAGAGCACAGGCCAGAGAGAUGUCUACUCAAGUCCUUUGUCCAUUUCUUCCCUUUUCCUUGUGGGGGGACGGCACCCUGCGGUGCUCCACCACUGAGCUGCACCCCAGCCCUUUUUAUCUGGAGACAGGGUCUUACUAAGUGGCCCAGGCUGGCCUUGACCUUGUGACCCUCCUGCCUCAGCCUCCCCGGGGCUAGGAUCGCAGGUGUGGCCACUGCGCCUGGCUGGGCCGCGUCUGAGUGGGGCUGCGGGACUCCUUCUGUGUCCCUUUGCAGAUGCUCGAUUUGUCAGGGUCCCCCCAUUCUUGCCUUUCACCCACUUGACCAUGACCUCUGAUGCACAGGGUUUUUAAUUUGGGUGAAGUCCGGUGUUUUUAUUUUCAUUUUGUUGCUUGUGCUUUUGGUGCUGAGCUAGAAUCCAGGCCGACUUGUGCCUCGGUGCCCGAGGAGCGCCUUCGUGGCCGCCUUGUGGCAGGGCUUUAGGCUGCCCUCCUCUGCCUUCUCUGCUCCUCUCGCGUGGCCACACUGCGGUUCUCCAGGUCCUGCCAGCGCCUCCCUCGCUCUCCUGUCCACCCCACGUGCUCCUGGCACCUCUGCAGGGCAUGAAUGGGGCGCUGCCUGCUGAUGCCAGCUCUCGAGCCGGGGGCUCCGCUGAAGCUCUGCCCCUGUGCGUGUGUCACCAGGAUCCCAGCAGAGCCUGUGUGGGAGGACCUGGCCCCUCGGCCCUGCUCUGCCUGUAGCAUCACAUGGCCCAGCAUACACAGAGCCGGCAGCCACCACAGGAGGGUGAACGGGGCCAACAUGCUGAUCACAGAAGCAACAGCUGAAGCCAUCCCUAGUUUAAUUAAAGGCCCCAUGUGACCUGAGCAGGUCCCCUCCCACGGGCUCCUGGAUGUCCUAUUACACACAAGGCCCCACUGCUCACAAGCAGAGAGCCCAGGGGCCCUGGAGAGUGUGGAGCACGUCCAGGUGAGGGUGGGGCCUCGAGGACUGAGAGAGCCACACCACCUCAGAGGCCACGUCUGCAUGUGGACCAGGCAAGCUGCCAGCACAGAAGCUGGGUGGUGGGGGCCCUGAUGGGGCAGGCGAGAGACCCUCAGGAGGCCCUCCCACCUCGGCUGAUUUCAUGGUCAGCAAACUCUGUGGCCAAAAUGACAGUGGCCCACAGGGGGAAGGAGAAGGCAGUGCCUGCUUUGUAGAUCCUUCCCUCCCGGGUGAGGGGGAGGAGCAGCCUCCCAGCUCCCAGGGGGCACUGGGAUCUUGGAUCUCGGGUCUCCUGCCAGCCACAGCCUCUUCACACCUCACCCCUGUGUGCAAGCUGGAGCCCACCUCCUCUGCCGAGCUCCAUUAAGGAAACCUCUGGGCUGCUGCUGCUGUCUGAGGCAGUCCUGUCCCACUGUGCUCUUGGGAAGUCACAGGGAGAGCCAGCAUCAGCUCCUGCACUGAACUGCACAAGUGCACCCCCAGAAACAGCGAAGACUUCCCGUGUCCCCUGGAUCCAGAGGGUGUCUGCAGCCUGUUCUGGCAGCAGGAGGUGGCCUAGGUGGACCUAGGUGGAGGCCAGGCUGGCCCGUGCCCUUGGUAUUCAGGUGGUCAUUGAGCUGACAGGCCCCCGGGGUGUGUCCCCGCCUUCCACCUUGACAAACACCUGCCCCAGGGGCUACAAAGGCCAGGUGAGGUGGAGAAUUCUGGAACCCCUUGGCGUUGUGAGCAGAGCAUGGCGGCCCAGAGAGCUCCCCCUUGCCCGGCCUGCAUGGCUCCUUGCUGUUCAGGUGGACACUCCUGUCCAAGCAGCCUACGUGGGCCUCCUGUCUACAAUGUGGAGCCCUGGCCGCUGGAGGACCCACACUCCACAGAGAAGGGGACUGGAGGUGGUUUGGCCAACUCAACUCUUUCCGUAGUUUCUAUAAAGGUCCUGAACUGUUGCUAGUGCCCUAGGAAAGGUUGAAAUUCUCUGAACUUAAGUGAGUAAAAUAAACAGCAAAAACCUGUCAGAGCCCAACGGAGUUCAGCGUGAAGACAUCACCACUGUGCAGGACGCAAGUCUUGAAAUGUGGAAAAUCCAGAAUGAAUACUCUUUCUUAGAAAGCAAAAGAGACACUCCACUGUGGGUGACAAUGUGCUUCACUGUGACGGCAGAGCACAAGGCGUCAGAGCACCAACAGGUGAGAACCCUGGCCUUCACACACCUGGCCUUGCUGUCUCCUCUUCCAUUGAAAUCAGGCUUCAGAGAGGAUGGCUAUCUCCUCGGGGACAUGGACACCACAAAGGGACAUCCUGCCCAUCCUGAGAACCAGGGGACAUGCCACAGCAUCACAGUUUGUUUUUUCUAACUGCAUCAAAGAGCUGAGGAUAUGGAGAACCUUGGAUCAACUAGAGGCAUCAGAGUUUUCCUGGAGAGAAGGACCAUGACUGCCUCUCUGUUGUAGAGGUCUGAGGAGGAAUGUGUGCUGGGAGAAGCUGGCUGGACUUGGUACAUGUGGACUGGAGUGCUGAGUAUCCCUCUCCACCCCAGGCAGGUCUGCAGGGAGUGUGGGGGUCAUGUCCUAAACACUGGGUGGGGGGGGCCUGGGGGAAGCCCCCCACAUGCAUGGCGUCGGCUGAGCACAUGCCAUGGUCCUGAGUCUGGGACAGAACAGAGGGCAGACAGAUGUCCUGAGUCACAGAAAACCAAGCGUGGAGAGCAACCAGUGAUAUGUGAUGCAAGGCAGAAAGGAACCCCCAGCUCAGGAGGCCAGACGAUGAGGCCCUGAGAGGCCUGAGCAUUUCACCAGCAUUCAGAGUUAAAUUUCCUCAGGAGGGGAAGCUCCGAUUCAUCUUCCAAAAUAUUUACACUCAUGGUCAUGGUGAACUGAAUUUCACUGAAAGCACAACAGAGCUCAGACCCAGCUCAGCUGCAAAUAAAUCAAUUCAUCCCUCACUCAGUGUCCUUACCAAAGAAGAAGCCUGUCCUUUAUUUGAUAAAGAUAAGUAUCAAUCACUUCUGUGUCAACAAGUCUUUAUUCAUGAUGAGCGGCAUAAAACAAAAAAUUACAAGACACACACAAAAAGCAAGAAAAUGGUCCAUGGGAGAAGGAAAAAGGUGCUGACAGAAGUGGAUCUGGAGAUGUUAGCCCGAUGGCCCAAAGAGACCCAACCAGGACUGGUGUGAUAGAGAACGUGGCAGAAACGUGGGUGACAUGCACAAGCAGGUGGGAAACUUAAGCAGCUGAGUGGGAACUUAAAAAAAGUGCCAAAUGGAGAUUCUAAAAAUGAAAAUGUGAUGUCAGGAAUGGAGAAUUAACUAGAUGAGCUUCACUCCAGAGGAAAGAGCUAGUAACCUUGACAGGAAACCAGAAUCACCCAAACUGAGGCCCAAUAAAGGAAAGGAGUUUUGAAAAAGAGAUCUGGGACCUGUGGGAUGUGGCCAAGUGGACUAGUGAGUGUGUGGCUUGACACAGAGGGGCCAGGGUCUGAAAUAGUGUGUGCGGAGAUGACGGUCUAGAACUUUCCAAACUUGAUGAACAAGGGAAGCUCCGGGAGACCCUCGGCACACCAGCUGCACUGCUGAGGGGCAGAGGUGGAAAAGUGAGGGACAAGAACACAUUUCAUCAGAAGACACAGCGGCCAGAGGUCAGCGAACCGCCCUGCAGGGCAGAGUGAAUGACAGGCCGAGCGGCUCUCACAUCCAGCCAAAGCGAAGGAGCAAGAUGGGUUCUGCUGAGGGGCUCCUUCCAGCAGGCCAGCGCCAACAGCGGGUGGAAGCGGGGGGCCUGAAGCUGGGAACGAGUAAGGUGAGGUGUGAGCCAGGAGAAAGGGAGAGAGCCAUCUGGACAGAGCCUUCUCUGAGACCAUUGACUGCUGAAAGCAAAAAUGGUGACAUCAUCUGGUUUAACAGAAGCCAAACAGAGCACACAGGAGCUCACAGAGGGCAUGCUCAGGGUGCCUCCAUUUGACCCCGCUCUGCUUUGAGAGGCAGCUGCUGUCAGCUGAACACAGCUGCGUGGAUCACAGGUGUCUCCGGCCAUCUCCUGAGCAACGCCUAGAGAUCAGCAGAGGGUCCAGCUCCACAGUCACCAGAAGAGAUGGGAUGCAACAGCUAAGUUCACACAGACGGACAGCAGCCGCAGCCUGCUUCUCCCGUCCUCAGGCCCCAUUUGACUUCUCUUAGAAAGGCCUGCUGCUUCCCACUCUGAAGUUGUGCCCAUCUUUGCAGAGGGACACCUCAGAGCUUUGAAGUUUUGAUGUCAUUGUGGUGCAUCUUAGAGUCUUCAUUUCCAAUGGCUGCUGCUGACCCAGGACCCGUGUUUCCUCCCAAAGACACUGACCAGGUUAUCGCAUGCAGCCCGACACCAGCUCCAGAUCAUAGCUGUUUUCGCUUGGAUCUGGAGUGCCCCCGAAAGGCUUGCAUGCGUCCAGAGAUAGGCUCUUGGGAAGGGACUGGAUCACAAGGGCGAUGACCUUCAGAGUGGAUUAAUCCACGGAUGGACCGUGAUGUGGCUGCUGGGGGGAUGGAGACUGCAGGGGGUGGUGUGAUAUGGAGGAAGGGGCUACUGGGCGUGUGUGCUGGAAGGUAUAUCUUGUCCCCUGCCCCUUCCUCCCUUUCCGUCUCUCUGUGCUUGGGGCCUGCCAGAGCUGAGCAGCUUUCCUCUGCCGUGACUUCCAUCGGGAUGUUUCUCCCUGGAGCCAGCCCACCCCGACUGUGGACUGAACCUUCUGAGGCCAUGAGCACGAGAAAUCUCCCCUCUUCCAAACUGCUGUUUCAGGUAUCUGUCCCUGAGGCAGGAAGGCGAGCACACGGAGCAGCUGGCCAGGAGCCUCUUCCACCGGUUCCUCAUGGCCUGCAAAGACUGAGGGCAAGGUCAGCCCAAGGGCUCUGACCAAGGCUGGAGCCCACGUCCUAGGCUCCAUGCAGGUGCUGCACAGCCAGUUUUGGGGAUAGGGUGUCGGGAGUUGGAGCCCUUCUUACUGCUCACCAUGUUCCUGGAAUCCCUCUGGUCUGGAGCCCCCUCCAUCUGAGUGGGAAAAGAGAAAGGAGGGACGGUGGCCUGGCCGCAGGUCCUGCAGACAGGAGUGGGGUGAGUCCUGGCCUGCAGGACCCCCUCUGCUAGGCAGGAAGAGUGUACAGUGACCAGAGGCCGCUCCUGAAAGACCCAGCUCUGUCCCUCCCAACACACUCGUCACUGAGACCUCACUAAGAUGGUGGGGACUGGAAUGGGAACCUGCUACACGGCAGAGAAGCCAUCCUGCUCCUGCUCCGUGGCUCUGGCCAAGGCAGGAGGAACACACACACACACAGUUAGUUGGCAGGAAGAACCAUGUUAUUGAUGUAGCAGAUUCUAUUGUUUAAGUAAAUAAGGCGAAAAAUACGGAAAAUUUUGCUACCAGACCCACCUUCUAUUUUGGCCAAGCAAUUAGGAACUGCCCUCCAGCUUUGCAGCACUGGCUUCUGGGGGCCCAGGCUACCCCAGGGAGCUCACUGACCACAUCCGUUGUCCUGCAGCCUGUACUGCUCCCCAAAGGGAGGUGUGGACAGGCCUACUGACCUCAGUGUACUAUAGGCGCUCCACAGCCUCCUCUCCAGAAGGACGGGGCACUUGCUUAAGAAGUCCAGUUACCAAGGGCCACACCUGAAGCAGCAGUGGUCACGGCACUGUUAACAACUGGCAGGUCCACGUACUUUUCUAGUAGAUCAAGUCGUCUGUUCUGGACCUGUGACAAGUGACUUUGCUGGCAUCCCUGGUGAUGGAUGAAAGGACGUGCCAAAUUAAUAGAAUUGGGAUCACAAAGCAGGUGCUUUUAUUGAAGAAUAAUUUUGUGAUAACGAUGUAAUGUGGGAGCCUCCAGCAUAAGAUCAAAUUACUGUC